GACGAACGCUGGCGGCGUGCUUAACACAUGCCAGUCGAACGGAAAGGCCCUGCUUGCAGGGUACUCGAGUGGCGAACGGGUGAGUAACACGUGGGUGAUCUGCCCUGCACUUCGGGAUAAGCCUGGGAAACUGGGUCUAAUACCGGAUAGGAGCCAUUUUUAGUGUGAUGGUUGGAAAGUUUUUUCGGUGUAGGAUGAGCUCGCGGCCUAUCAGCUUGUUGGUGGGGUAAUGGCCUACCAAGGCGGCGACGGGUAGCCGGCCUGAGAGGGUGGACGGCCACAUUAGGACUGAGAUACGGCCCAGACUCCUACGGGAGGCAGCAGUGGGGAAUAUUGCACAAUGGGCGCAAGCCUGAUGCAGCGACGCCGCGUGGGGGAUGACGGCCUUCGGGUUGUAAACUCCUUUCGCUAGGGACGAAGCUUUUUGUGACGGUACCUAGAUAAGAAGCACCGGCUAACUACGUG
rnacentral:rRNA from 1 species